rnacentral:lncRNA from 1 species
UUUUUUUCAUUUUCCCUUUUUUUUGUUUAUUUUUAAUUUGUGUUAUCCUUUGUUAUAUUUGCGAAUCGAUGGGUAAUAUCUUUUGCAUCAAUAUUUUCAAAUGUCAUUUUUAUUUUAUAUGUUAUAUUAUUUUAAAUUAUUAGUCAAUCUAUUAACUCAAUUUUGUUUAAUAAUUGAUGUGAUAGUUAUUUUAAAUGAGUUCCUAGAAUAUCGCAUUAUGGGGCUUU